AUGCCCUCUGGGCUCUCUGGUGAUUCAUGAUAACUGCGCGAAUCGCACGGCCUUGCGCCGGCGAUGGUUCAUUCAAAUUUCUUCCCUAUCAACUUUCGAUGUUUGGGUAGUGGCCAAACAUGGUUGCAACGGGUAACGGAGGGUUAGGGCUCGACCCCGGAGAAGGAGCCUGAGAAACGGCUACUACAUCCAAGGAAGGCAGCAGGCGCGCAAAUUACCCAAUCCCGACGCGGGGAGGUAGUGACAAUAAAUACUGAUACAGGGCUCUUUUGGGUCUUGUAAUUGGAAUGAGUACAAUUUAAAUCCCUUAACGAGGAACAAUUGGAGGGCAAGUCUGGUGCCAGCAGCCGCGGUAAUUCCAGCUCCAAUAGCGUAUAUUAAAGUUGUUGUGGUUAAAAAGCUCGUAGUUGAACCUUGGGCCUGGCUGGCCGGUCCGCCUCACCGCGUGCACUGGUCCGGCCGGGCCUUUCCCUCUGUGGAACCCCAUGCCCUUCACUGGGCGUGGCGGGGAAGCAGGACUUUUACUUUGAAAAAAUUAGAGUGCUCCAGGCAGGCCUAUGCUCGAAUACAUUAGCAUGGAAUAAUGAAAUAGGACGCGCGGUUCUAUUUUGUUGGUUUCUAGGACCGCCGUAAUGAUUAAUAGGGACAGUCGGGGGCAUCAGUAUUCAAUUGUCAGAGGUGAAAUUCUUGGAUCAAUUGAAGACUAACUACUGCGAAAGCAUUUGCCAAGGAUGUUUUCAUUAAUCAGGAACGAAAGUUAGGGGAUCGAAGACGAUCAGAUACCGUCGUAGUCUUAACCAUAAACUAUGCCGACU
rnacentral:rRNA from 1 species